GUAGGUGGCAAGCGUUGUCCGGAAUUAUUGGGCGUAAAGCGCGCGCAGGCGGUUCUUUAAGUCUGAUGUGAAAGCCCACGGCUCAACCGUGGAGGGUCAUUGGAAACUGGGGAACUUGAGUACAGAAGAGGAAAGCGGAAUUCCACGUGUAGCGGUGAAAUGCGUAGAGAUGUGGAGGAACACCAGUGGCGAAGGCGGCUUUCUGGUCUGUAACUGACGCUGAGGCGCGAAAGCGUGGGGAGCAAACAGGGAUUAGAUACCCUGGUAGUCCACGCCGUAAACGAUGAGUGCUAAGUGUUAGGGGGUUUCCGCCCCCUUAGUGCUGCAGCUAACGCAUUAAGCACUGCGCCUGGGAGUACGGCCGCAAGGCUG
rnacentral:rRNA from 1 species